rnacentral:misc_RNA from 1 species
GAAGUAGCUUCCUGCCCAUCACGCUUAAGAAAAAGCCCGAGCAAAGCACGGCCUCUCUUGAUCUCUUCUCUAAUCACUCAAUAAGAUCUCUUAUCUCCAAUUUCAAAGGGUUUUAUUUGAUCUGAUAUCGUUGGUUUGUGAUAGAGAAGAUCGCAUCGGCGUUUCAUUUGCGGAUUGGAGUAAACCAUGUUUAACCGGCUCUUUGGAAAACCUAAGCAGGAAACAAAUGCUCUAACCACGUUAGACAAAUUAAAUGAGACGCUUGAAAUGCUAGAGAAAAAGGAGAAAGUACUUGUUAAGAAGGCUGCUGCAGAAGUUGAAAAGGCCAGGGAAUUC